GUCGAGAGUUUGUUCGCGGCAUUUCGUCGACGGCAAGCGAACCAAGCAGAACCCAGUUCCGAUGCUCUUUCUGGGCUAUGAUCGCAAGGUUAUUGUAGGCCGAAGACGAUUGCAGAGGAUGUCCGUGCCACCCCUCAAGAAAUCGAAGCUCGCAGAUGACUCUCCAUCAGGCUCGUCGACAGGCUGUCCGCUGAAGCAAAACCCAGUACACUCCACUGGUCCCACGACUCCGCCGUCUUCACAACCAAAGACUCGGACCCU